AACGCACAUUGCGCCCCCUGGCAUUCCGGGGGGCAUGCCUGUCCGAGCGUCAUUUCUGCCCUCAAGCACGGCUUGUGUGUUGGGUGUGGUCCCCCUGGGGACCUGCCCCAAAGGCAGCGGCGACGUCGCGUCUGGUCCUCGAGCGUAUGGGGCUUUGUCACCCGCUUGGGAAGGGCCUGCGGGCGUCGGUCAACCCCCAAUCUUCCACGGUUGACCUCGGAUCAGGUAGGAGUUACCCGCUGAACUUAA
rnacentral:misc_RNA from 1 species